GCCACAGUGUGGUGUAGUGGUAAUGCUUUGGGCUUAUAACCAAAAGGUUGCUGGUUUGAUUCUCUUCUAGGGCA